AAUUGUAUUUCUACAAUUGGCCAGACUAUAUCUUAAGCCCAAUUAAGGACCCAUGAACAUUUAGUCGUUGAACUGCAUUCCAUUAGAGGAAUUUGGCUGCGGAUUAUCCUUAUUUCUAACAUUAUUACCAUGCCACGACAUUUCUAUCAUGGUUUAGUAGUCAGAAACAUUUGAAAUUUCCCGCAUUUUGAUCAUGUUGCUAAUUUUACAAUUAACUAAUGAGAAUAAUCUCAUUUUUACAC
rnacentral:ncRNA from 1 species